rnacentral:rRNA from 1 species
GCAGUGGGGAAUAUUGGACAAUGGGCGCAAGCCUGAUCCAGCCAUGCCGCGUGGGUGAAGAAGGCCUUCGGGUUGUAAAGCCCUUUUGUUGGGAAAGAAAAGCAGUCGGUUAAUACCCGAUUGUUCUGACGGUACCCAAAGAAUAAGCACCGGCUAACUUCGUGCCAGCAGCCGCGGUAAUACGAAGGGUGCAAGCGUUACUCGGAAUUACUGGGCGUAAAGCGUGCGUAGGUGGUGGUUUAAGUCUGUUGUGAAAGCCCUGGGCUCAACCUGGGAAUUGCAGUGGAUACUGGGUCACUAGAGUGUGGUAGAGGGUAGCGGAAUUCCCGGUGUAGCAGUGAAAUGCGUAGAGAUCGGGAGGAACAUCCGUGGCGAAGGCGGCUACCUGGACCAACACUGACACUGAGGCACGAAAGCGUGGGGAGCAAACAGGAUUAGA